CCUACGGGCGGCUGCAGUGAGGAAUAUUGGUCAAUGGACGAGAGUCUGAACCAGCCAAGUAGCGUGAAGGAUGACUGCCCUAUGGGUUGUAAACUUCUUUUAUAAAGGAAUAAAACGAGGCACGUGUGCCUUUGUGCAUGGACUUUAUGAAUAAGGAACGGCUAACUCCGUGCCAGCAGCCGUGGUAAUACGGGGGCUCCGAGCGUUAUCCGGCUUUAUUGGGGUUAAAGGGAGCGUAGAUGGGUUGUUCAGUCCGUUGGGAAAGUUUGCGGCUCCACCGUAAAAUUGCAAUUGAUACUGGCAUUCUUGAGUACAGUUGAGGUAGGCGGAAUUCGUGGUGUAGCGGUGAAAUGCUUAGAUAUCACGCAGAACCCCGAUUGCGAAGGCAGCUUACUAAACUGUGACUGACAUUGAUGCUCGAAAGUGUGGGUAUCAAACAGGAUUAGAUACCCUAGUAGUC
rnacentral:rRNA from 1 species